GUGGGCAAGUCGUCUCCAGUAAAGCGCGAGUCGACUCCAGUAACAGCUGAGUCGACUCCAGAUCGCGCGAGUCGACUCCGAUCCCAACGGAUACAUGGACAGACUAUGCAAACGGAUCAGAACGGCUCUAUUUUUGUCUCUAACGGCUAGAUUUUUGUUCCCACGCCAUCCAAAGCUAUAAAAUCAAGGGAAGAGCUAGGGAAGAAGAAAAGGAAGUGAGAGAGAACACAUAGGGAAGAGAUUUCAAAGAGAUUUCAAGAGAAACCUCCCAAAAGCACAAAAGGGCCAUUCAAAGCAAAAGAGAGAGAAGAAAAGCAUCUGAGUGAAUCUCAAGGCUUUCUCUCCAACUGUGUGCUGCCUCAGUGAUCCUCUACUUCGUGCGAAAUCAGAAGAGGGUCAAGUAAAGAAGAAGCCGAGUUCCUUCAUCUACAAAACUUGUUUGAGGGCUUCUUCUCUUUACUCUAUUUGUUUACAUUGUUAUAUCUGCUUGUUUAAGAAGCUUGUAUUUGUUUUAAACUCUUGUUCUAAUAUCUUGUAACUUGAUUCAAUCAAGGGAUUGAAUCAAGGGGUUAAGGUUUGUUGGUGAGCCAAAGGAAAAACCAACGGUGUAAGGUUGUGGUUGGUGAACCGGGAAAAAUCAACUGAGUUUGAUUGUGAACCCGGGAAAACAAUCGAGUGGUUCUAAUCGGUGAGCCUGUGAAAACCGACCGAGUUCGUUGUGAUCUCGUGAAAACAACAAUUUAGGUUGUGAGCUUGUAAAACAACCGGCUGUAAUCUGAGGGAUUAUAGUGAAAUUUCCAAGAGGUCUUGGGGAGUAGAUGUAGGUGCUGGGGUGCACCGAACCACUAUAUGUUUGUUGUGUUUGUGAUGCUUUCUUUCAUUGUUUAAUUACCUCACUUAGUUAGAUAAAUAUCUGAUUGAAUUGCUUGCUUAACUCUUAUCUGCACAUCCCUUAGUUGCAAGUAUAUUCAAAUUGUUUAAUCAAGUUUCAUUUAAUAAAACUGCAUUAAGAUUCAUUGUAUUGAAAUGCUUGCUUGGGGAAAUCUAGACUAAUUGUUUAUUGAGUCUGCUGCUUAAUAGUUUUAAUUUUGGUCAUAUUAGAAUCAAAUUGUUGCUAAGUUUAAAUUCCAUUGUGCAUCUAUACAACUUAGCUUAAUUAAUUGAAAAGUUUAGAAAUAGUUGAAAAGUCUUAAAAGACCCAAUUCACUCCCCUCUUGGGUUGUAUCUACUGGGCAACAGUUUCUCUCUACAAAAUUAGUGUAUCAUCUCCAAAUUGCAAGCACUGUGAACUUCCAAUCAUAUGAAAAGGUCCCACACCCGCAAUGAGUCCCUCUAAAGUAGCUUGAUUGAAAAUUCUACUUGAUUUCUCGCGUCUAUUGAAGCCUACCUUAUAUAGGCUAAUUCCAUUCGAUCUAUUGCUGUCAGGUUUCAUCUCGUUGUAAUGUCAUCCGUCCCUAUCACUUUGGAAGAGGUAAAAAAGCAAUCACUAGUAUGGGAGCUUACAAGGCACCGGGCUCCGACGGCUUCCAGUUAGCCACUAAAAUAAAUAUUUAAGGGGAAAACGGGUUUCCUUGCUUGAGUCCAUGUCUGUUUUUGAACUAGUUGCCGAGUGUUCCGUUGAUCAAUAUGCUUGAGCUGGUGGUUUCUAGCAAAGAGGUGAUCCAUGAUACCCAUCUUGAUCUGAAACCUCUGUUUUUCAUGAGGUCUAUCAAAAACUUCCAGGAGAUGCAGUCAAAAGCUUUCUCAAAAUCGACCUUACAAAGAAUUCCUUUUUCUUUUGUUCUUCAGCAGAAGGAGAUGAUUUCUGUUGCAGUGACGUAACUUUCGAAGAUUGAUCUCUCUUUAAAAAAAGUAGUCUGUGAGGGUGAGAUUAAGUGGCCUAUUAUUUUGCUCAACUUGAUGGAGAGGACCUUUGAAAUAAUCGUCAUAAUCCUGUGCUCCAAACUGAUUGGAAAAAAGUCUAUAACUAAUGGAUUGCAAGAGCUUUUAGGAAUGAGAGCGAUAUAGAUGUAAUUCAGUCAUGCCAGGUUUAAUGAAGUUCUGAAAAGCUUGAAAAACUUGUAUGAUAUCUAUUUUGAUUUCCCAAUAUAUCUGAUAAAAUGAGGUUGGCAAUCCUUCUGGCCCAAGUGCUUUAUUCUUUGCAAGAUUAAAGGUUGCCUCCUUGAUUUCUUUUCCUGUUAUUCCUUCAUCCAAAAGCUUAAGUCAGGCGGGGUCUCAGAGUAUAAUUGAUGCCAUAUUGCUUCUACUUGCUCUUCCUUUGCGUUUCCUAGUAGUGAGUAGUAGUAAUCGAGGAAUGUUUUCUGAAUGUCUUCUUGGCUGGUUAUUAUCCUUCUAUUUUCAUGAAGCUCUACCAUUUGAUUUUGCCCUCUUCGAUUGUUUGCACAAAUAUGAAAAAAUUUCAUGUUUCAGUCGCCAUCUUUCAUCCAUUGUUUCCUCAAUCGUUGCUGCCAGUAUAUUUCUUCUUGAGUUAAGAGGGAUUCAAAAUUCUAAAGGUUUUGCUUUCUUUGUUAUCUUCUGCUGUGAAACUAACUUCCUCUUCCAGCAUGUCUGAUGGUCCGAUCCUUGUGCAAAUGUCUUUUUUCCUUUCGAAUAUGUUACCAACAUUGCCCCUACUCGACUUUUUAAGAUUGUUCUGAACGUAACGUAGUUUGGCCACUAUACUGGUUGCAGCAUCUUCAGAGCUGGGUGCUUCCACUACAAUUUGAUAAGGUUGUCAAAUCCUGGGAAUUUAUACCAUAUAUUUUCGAAUCGGAAGAGUUUCUCCUCCUUUUCCCAUCCGUUUGUUCCGGACUGAAUGUGAGUGGCAGUGGCAAAUGAUCAGAGGUUGGCCUUGUCAGCGGAAAACGGACACCAUUGGAAAGGCAUCAUGCCACUCUAUUGAGGUAAAGCAUCUAUUCAAUUUUGCUAGGUUGGGUGCUCCCUGAAGAUGGACCAUGUGAAUUUUCUGGAUGCCAUGUUGAUUUCCAGCAGAUUAAGAUUCAAGAAUUUGUUGAAGUUCCUUACACCAUAGAGCUGUUCUUUGCCCCCAUUCUUUCGGAAGAGUGUCUAGUGAUAUUGAAGUUGCUUAGAAUUAACCAUGCUCCGGCAAUUCGGUUCGUUAGUUCCUUGAUCUCUGUGAAAUAGGCUUUUCGGAUUUUGUUGUCAUGUGGCCUGUAUAUGUUUGUGAUUGUCCAUUGGAGGUUCAAAUCUUUCAAGGUGAACUUAGUGUUUAUAGAGAACAAGCUGUUGUGUACAAGUUCCCCAUUAAUCUCAGUUUUGUCCCAAGUUGUUAACAGACCUCCUGAAGAUCCAUUGGCUUCUUUAAUGUGCCAACUUCCACAUACAUAUAUCGGCUCUUAUUAUAGUAGGAAAUUAUUAUUGCAUUGUUCUAACUAGUCAAGCUACUACUUAUCUUCAAAAAGAUAUCACCAAAGGGAUGUAUAGAAGAUUCUUGAAUAUAUUGUGACCACUGAAUGGAUGUGGUAUAUCUGUUUAUCUUCUCAUUAGUUUUAAAUUCUUUAGAUUUCUUUUUUUUUGUGCUAACUACAUUAGAUCAAAUGAAUAGGUUAGUCCUUCGAAGCUCAUGUUGGCUGUGCAUAGAGGUGCAAACUUUUCCAUUAUCCAGCCAUAACGAACGACAUCCAAUGGAAUGCCUACAGACACACAUGAGAGUGGUUGAGGGGUUUUUCAUGGCACAUGGCCUUAGUUUAGAAGACCCUCCAACAUUUGGGGAUGUCGAAGGGGAGGACGAUCGGAUGGUCCUGUACGAUAAGAGGUUGUCCAGAGUCGAGAAGGUCCUCCGAGAUAAGCGUCUCCUGGUGGAUGACCAACUUGGUGAGCAUGCCACAGGUUUUGCUGAGGUAAGUAAAGUUUGAUGAAUUAUUAACUCAAACAUCUUGUCGAGCAUGUAUUUUUGUAUGCAUCAAAUACAACACAUUAUUAGGUGAGGGAAGAGCAUACUAUAGUUGGUGAAGCUAUGGACCAAGCUGUAGUGGACAUAGAGGAUAUGCAGGAUAGUGUAGAUGUGGUAGAGGCACGUGAAGUUAAGAGCACACAAGAAAAAGGCAAUAGAGAAAGCAAAGGCCAUAUCACAGCUUCCGAAGACUUAUAUAAGGACAAAAAAGAAACAAAAAGUCAGCAAAUAGGUGAAGCUAGUAUGGCACAAGCAAUUAAAAAGGAGGAUUUGCCCACUUAGUUGAGUAACUUAUUGGAGCUUAUCACUACUGCACUUAAGGAGCUCCACAAGUCAAUUCCAAUCGACAAAGAAACAACCCCCCUGGAGAGGUAUAGAAAUUUGCUCAUAUAAAUAUUCUGUAUCCAUAUGCAAUUUGCUAAGUCUAUAUUAUUUACUUUUCUGACUAAAAUUGUUGUCUUCACCUUUCAUUGCACUUAGCAUUUACAGCAAUUCACUAAAGCUAUAGUUGAGAGAGCAGUGUCACCAGAUAGGCCAAAAAAAGUGGCACCGAAACGUACCUAUCACUCCGCAUGUAUGCUUACUAUUUAUUUUUUUAAUUGCAAAUCUUUCUUGAUUCACAAGUCAAGAGGCAUAGAUAUGCUAUUCACAUUCUUCAUAUGCACGUUCCAUGGUCACUCGUUGACGAUCGUUCUUCAUAAAUAUAAAAUCUCUAAAAUUUGCGAUGCAGAAGUUGCGAAUUGUGUCACAAAGAAUUUCCACAUCCUUGAACUCCUAACCAACGCCCUCUAUGGAUGUUAUCCAAGCAUCCAAAGAUUUUUUUUUGACUAGGUUUGUAAUACCCAUGCCUUUUAAGCCUGAAACCGGAUUGGGCCUGGAGCCUAGAAGCAUUCUUUGGCUAAAAAAAACAAAGAAUUUAGCACAUGCUGCGCACGUGCCUGCAGAGAAGACUCUAUCGGGAGUCUUCUUCCUCCCCAUGAUGGUCGGACGGAAUCCGACUUCGGGUUGGAUUCUGAUCGCGGUCGGGGUCUAUUUAGACCUCCCCCCUCAUCCCUUUUCCACCACACACCAAAUAGCUUGAUCUCCGAUCGAAUCGUCGUCGGAUUCCUCUUCAAUAUCCUCCGCAGCCGUCGAUUGUGUCAAUGCCAUUGCCGUUGCCAACCGUCGCCGGAAGCUAUGUAAGCACCGGCAACUUCUGAUUGGUCUCCCUCUCCAUCUUCCGUAGCCCUCAGAAGCUUUGAUUUCGGCCGACAAUCACCAGAUUUUCAUGAAGAACUGAAUGUCCUGUUUCCCUUGUUUCGGUAAAACGACCCCUGCUUCGCCUAUUCCGGUUGGUGCCGCCGCCGGCGCUUGUCGCCGAGGUCUUUCCCCAAUCCCCCGCGGUAGCAGAAGACUGUGGCCGGAGCUCCGGCCAUUGGGAUGUAUGAUUUUCAGAGUUAAAAAUGGGGCAAAACCCUUGUUUUUCUUGCCUUUGGUGCUGUCGGCCGCCAGCCGCUUGCCGGCCAUCGGGCGCUUGCCGGCCGGCUGUGGGUCCCCAACUUCGAGCACCACUUGCAGCCACCCUCUUCCUCUCACUUCUUCCUUUGGCUAGAGAGAGACCUUGUUCUCUCCUCCUUUCUCUCUUCCUUACUUUCUCUCUCUUGAUUUCUCUCUCUACAAAAUUUUUCUCUCUUCAUUCAUGGCUAGACAUAUUGAUUGAUUGAAGUUAACCGUGUUGUUGACAACCAAACCCAGACCCUGAUCGAACCGGACUGAAAUUCUCUCUUCUCCAUUUUUUCUCUCUAGAUUCUCUCUUUACGGAACUUUCUCUCUCUAAUAUCUCUCUAGGGUAGUUGGAUUCAGUAGGGACAGAAUUGACUCGGAUGAAGGGUCUUGAUCUAGGGUCGUUGGGCGGCGUGUCGACCCAUUCUGGCCUUUGCCAAUCAAUGUUAGAUUUGAUCGUUCCAAACUUUGUUGAGCCAUCUAUGCCCUAAUCUGAGCAUGAUUCGAUGAAUUUUACUUUGAUCAGACCGAUUGAGGUGUUGGGCACUCUCGCCCGAUCAACCUAGAGUAUUAGAAUUAGGGUUCUAUUCUUAGAAUAAUCAUGAUAAAUUCUGAUUGAAAAUAUAAUUUUUAAAUACUAGGAUUUGAGAGGAAUUUUUGAGAAUUAUUGGAUCUGUUAGUUGGAUUGCGUUCGAGGUAAGUAAUUUAACCUUUUUCUAGAUUUAUCGGCAAAUUAUAAAUAUUUUUUUGAGUCGAAUUAUUCUUGAUAUACGAAUUUGAUGCAUGGCGUUAUAUGUCUAUUUUUUAGAAUAUUAUAUGAUUCUGAUUGAACGUAUUACUUUUGAUAUGAAUUGUGUUUGAUUGAUUCGAUAUCGUAUCUUUCGGUCUAGAACAUUGAACAUAAUAUGAAAAAAGAUAAUAACUUGAAAUAGAUUCAGACUCGCUGUCAGGCUAUGUUGAGGACCCUGCCAAUGGAGGCUAAUAUAUUGGUACCGCAAGAUGAUUAGUUGGUGAUAUGACUUUGCCACGGGAUGAUGUGAUCAUAGUUCUUAGCUGUUAAGUCGAAUUUGAUAAAUUGAAAGAAAUUAAGUUAUGAACGAUAUUUGGGUUUUGACACUGCACGAUUUUAGAACUGAAAUAUGAAACAGAGGACUAAUCGAACUUCGACCUGGCUAUGUUGAGAACCCCCAUUAACUUCGACCUGGCUAUGUUGAGAACCCCGCUAAUGGGGGCAAAUACAUUGGCACAUGACCGUCCUGAAGGACUCACUGCAAGAAGAUUAGUCGGUGUUAAGACCCUGCCAUAGGGAACAUGUGGUCAUAGUCCAGGAUCGACAAGAUGAAUUGAAUAUUUGAAAGAAUUCGAAUAUGUGAAAGAAAUUCUAAGAAUUUAAGAAAGAUUUGAUUUGUAUCUUAGUACUACAUAUAUACUUAUUUUCUAUAUAUUAUUGCUUGAUUUAUCUAGUUAGAGUGUUCAUUACUUAUUGGACUGUUUAGCUCAUUAUACAAUUUUUUGUUGUUUUAUAUAUUCCGAGAACUAGCCUAUCGGGAUUUCAAAAUGGGAGAGCGACUAGAAGGAUAGUGGCACAAGCUAUCUUUGAUUAUGAUUUAUUUAAGUUGAACUUUUAUCUUGGACAAUUAUUAUGAUUGUUAGACAUUGCAAGGUUUUGUUAUUUAAAGAACUAAGUUUUAUAUGUUAGUAGUUUAUUGUUCCGCUGCAUAUUUAGAACUGUGAGACUUUAUAAAUUGAGUUAGUUAAUGGAAUAAGAUUGCUUUAAUAGUUGAAUGAUUUUAGUUACAUAUUUGAGAUAUUUUGUUUAUGCCUUGCAUGCUUGUGGAAAGAGUUUCCUACGGGUGUGCGGGGGUUGACGCGACCCCUGGCUCGCGAUCUUGGGAUGGGGGCGUGACAAGGUUUCUCUUCAAUUGCGGCUCUUGUUUCUUCAACAACUCGACCAAAAUUAUUUGAGUUGCCAAAAAAGUUUUUGACAGUGAUGGAGGCAUCCAGCGUUUUCUGGUUCGUUGGCGUGGACGACCAAAGUCCGGGUACACUUGGAUCCAGCACGAGGAGAUACCGCCGAUUGAUCCGAACUUGUUGGAGUAUUACCGGGGCUUUACCGAGCCGCUUUCGUCGAGGUCGACUUCUUUCCAUCCGGGGAGAGUUGGUGUGGACACUAGUGCCAGGUCAGCCGGUCGCCACAGGAUCCAGCCAGCUCAGCGGGUUCCAGCCGAUUUAGGCCUCCUGAUUUUAUUUUGGAUUGAUUUAUUUUAGUUGGGUUUAUUUUAUGUUGAUUGAGUUUAUUUGCAUAUUGUUAUUUUAGGACCUUUUUGGAAUUGUUUUAUUUGUAGGGGUUUAUUUGUUAUUUUGUGACCCUAUAUAUAUGGGUCCAUCUUCAUGUUUAGGAUUUUGAUGAAUGAUGAAUGAAAAUUUGCCUCCUUGUCUUCUUCUUCCCCCUCCUCUUCUCCUCCUCUUCUUCUUCCCCCUCCUCUUCUUUCCCUUUCCCUCUCCUUUCUGCAGUUGUCCUGCAUCAAUUAUUUAUUUGAAUCGGCCUCUUAGCCGAAGCUUAGUGAAAUAUCUUCUUACUAGAUGAUAUAUAAUACUAUCCAUUCAUCUUACUCUCAAACCAAAUUUAUCACUUUUUCGAUCUUCCAGCAAACCUUUUGUGUGGCACUAAGAUCCAUAUUAUCCAUAAUCCACAUGAGGAUCCUCAAUUAUUCAAAUGACUAGGCACAAUACCUUGUAGGAUCUCCACGAAUAGCUAAAACAACAAUGCCCCCUGGAAUAUAGCUUCAACAUGCAUAAUAUCCAAGCAAGGCAUAAUUAUUUCCUUCAACAUGGAUGCCCCCCAACCUUUGUCACCCUAAGGAUACCAUGCUACUCCCAGUCCACCAAGGGAUGGCUUAUGUCCAUGAUUGAAGCGAGCACCCCUUCUUCAGUCCAACGUGACCUCUUGUAUAUAUUUUUGUCAUCUCGGCUAAUGAUUCUUGAGAACACCAAAUAGUUUUCAGUCUCAUUUCCUUGACUAGCCGAUAAAAAACUAUCGCGUUUAAAGAUCUUGCAACAUCAUGCGCCAACAACUGACUAGCUGAUUUACCUUCUUCAACUUUUUAAUUAGCGAAGUUCACCAUAGUCUGCAUCGCGGCAUGCUGUGGUUGGAGUUUUUGAUAAGCUUUUCCACUUAUUCUGUUAUCACCUUUAGAGCUACCUAGUUGCACUCCAUAAGUAGGUAUAAUAUGAUAGCCGCUUCAAAUGAGAACAACUUCAACAAGCGGUGCCUAAUUUUCUCUAGAUAGGACUAAAUUGGUAUGACCAUCUCCCGAAGAAGAUCUGCUGGUAGAUAUAUCACCAUCACCUGACAAGUAUCUAUCAUCUCCUUAGCAAUAUCAUAAUAACUAUGCAUUUAUCCCACUAGGUAUGUCAAAUAACUUAUUUCUACAAAGGCUUCUCAUGUGCCAUCUAGGAAGACAUGCAUGCCAUAGAGAUUGUUGGCACAAGUCUGAUGGCAAGAUGUAGAUAAGUCCAAAGGCGUGCCACUGGCGUUAGAGCAUCUGGAAAGAUGAUGAUCAUAGGGAGGAUAUGAGAGUAAUAUUGGUCUAGAUGCCUUGAGCUUCAAGGACUUUGGCUACCAUCACACCACUAUUUGAGAAACUAAGUUAUGACUAUUACUAAGAUACUACUAGAAAAUAAAUGCAAUAAACUAAAACUAAGAUAAAAUAUAAUUCAAAGAUAUGUUGGAUGUCGAAAGGUUCUUUAUAGAGAACAAAUCCAUCUAUUUAUGCUACAAGAUAAUAAUUGCUCACUCUUAAUAAUAGUCCACAUCUCACCUCCAUGUCUAGCUAUUCUGGUAACUAAUGUCUUAUCUUUAGGCUGAAAAAGCUGGAGGUGAACUUGGCUAAAGACGAGAGCAUAUGAUGUAAAACUCCAAGCCCUUUUAGAAGCACAAGCUCGGCUCCAAGACUAGAUGUCUCGAUUUCCUACCCAUCUUGCCAAGACGAGCGAGGUUGAUGCACUGGCUGAACAUUUACAACGUGAAUGGGAUUACACUAACGACAUAGCCAGAAAUUUAUAAACUCCUUUUUGCAUUAUAACUUUGACAAAGAAAACCAUGCAUGGCCUUUUGUUCAAAAGCAAUGAAUGAAUCUAUUCCAUCCGAAUUAUUACUACUUCCAAUAUCACUUUAUUCAUUUAUAACUCAAUUUCUAGAUUGGAUGGGGAACCUCCAUUCUCAUCCUUCAAUGGAUAUCCACAAGAAACCUCAUCUAUGGUCAAUAUAUGGAUUCCUUGUGAGUUGAUCACCAAAUCCUAGAAUGAGCUGAGCCUUUCACCUUAAUGUUGCCAGAAAAGAACCCUUUACCUUAAUG